UGUGGGGGAAGGUGGUGCAUUUAAGAAUGUGGUCAUAGUGGGCCUCACUGGGAAGGUGUCUCUUGAGUGAACCCUUGAAGGAGGUAGGGGUGAGGGGUACAGAUGCUUAGGAGAAGAGCACCCCACUGAAGCCUUCGUGUGGGUUGUUCUGUCCAGCUCCCUUCUUAACCUGGGAAUCUGCAUCCACCUGGCCCCUGUCUGUUGGCUGACUCCCAUCACAGAUUCUUGGAAGUCCUGUGUCCAAUGAGGAAAAUGCAGAAAACUGGAGACACAGCAGAGCUGACGACGUGGCCAACAACACGAGGGGAAAGCGUGGCUGGGAGGCGGCCCUGAGCCCAAGCGCGGUGCCCAUUAAGUCACAGCCUCCCAAGCUGCGAGGGCCAUGCUUACGGCUUGCCACUUGGGCCCCAAAUGGUGUCUAGUUGCCUUUCUGUCACCUGACUUUGAGUCACUUUUCUGUUCUUUAUCAGCCUUCUCCAGAGUACUGAAUGGGCAGAUAAAAGAGGGAAUGUAAAUUGCUCAAUCGUGGUAUUUUAAUUGAGAGGUUUAGGGGAAAUAUCUAGGUUAUUUAUGAAGUUCGAUCUUCUGUGUCGUUCACCCCCUCAGAAUCGUGAAAGUUUUGCUGGGCUGGGUGAUUACAGAACUGAAGAAUGAUGAAGGCAGAAAGAUACCUGGAGCCCAGCGAACCCAGCUCCUGCAUUUGAAAAAGAUUUAGGGAUCCUCUUGCCACGUUGCAUGGCAUCUGUCUGUUCCUUGAGCUAGACUGGGAUCCACCUGAUCACAUGUGACGCCUGUUUCCUCAGAGCCUGGCACUGUGCCUGGCACAUGGAAGGUAUUAAAAAAGUGUUCGUUGAAUGAAUGAGUGAAUGAUCGGCCAAGCUCACACAGCUAAUCUGCGGCAGAGCUCAAAGCAGAGGUCAGCUCAGUUCAUUCCAGACACAACGUUCCAUCCCUUACGCACAUGGCCUCAGUGAUAUUUCAUUUGAUUAAACUUUGAAAUUGCUCUGGGGUUAAGGUUUAUGGGACCCUAUCUCCUACCAGGGGAGCAGAGGUGGUCGUUACGGUCGGGUUUGUGAAACGCCAUGAGCUACUCACACCUUCAGAACAGCUUUGCCCUAAUGGAAAGACCUGGGUUUGAGGCUGGCCUGUGCCGUUUCCCAGUAGGUCGCCUUGGGGCAAAUCACUUAAUCUUGACGAGGCUCAAUUUUGGGUCCUGUAAAAUGGAAGAGUGGUUCUGACCGUGCCAAUCUCACAAGGUCGCCAUGAAGUCCAAGCACGGCCAUAAAUAUGACAGUCUUUUAUAAGCAGCCGCGCCUGGUCUGCAACGAAGGGUUAGAGUGGCCAGGUACAGGGAGGGGAGCCCAGGACUGAGCUGCCCCCAGCUGCCUCGAAAAAGCUCUCUGGUGUGCAGGUGAUAGUUGUGUCGGGUGGUCACCCGGAUGUAUGUGUAUGUGUAUUACUUGGGGGAAGUGGAGGGGCUGGGAACCCCCAGGUAGCUGGAGAGGUCAGAAAAGGUGAGAGAGAAGGGAAGCUUGCCAGGGUGAGGUUUCCCCGGGUCAAUGGAGCACAGGGAGUGGGGGGAGGUGCAACGGGCAAAGCUCGCCCCUCUCAUGGUGUUGGAGAAGGGAGGGAGCAGGAGAGCCAGGGCCAGUCCUCAAGGCUCCUCUAUUCCCCUCGUCCUUUGCAGGUAACCGGGCACAAGCCGUGUUAUUGAAAGCUGGUAAAAUACUGCUCAUAGGCAAAGAAUGAGUGUAUCUAGUAAAAAAAACGGGAGUAGGUUUUGGUGACUCAAAAAAUUCUAUCCAAUGUUAAAAUAAUAGACCAAUUUGGUCAAUGAGUUAGGAAAAAAAGAAAAAAAAAAAAAAAGGAAUUAGGCAAGCCUGCUGUUUGAAUCCAAACAGACCAAACAAUGGAUCACUGUCUGAACACUGAACUUUUUAACUCGUUCCUUUGUUGGGUUGUUGGCUUGGCAUGGGCCUGAGUGAGGAGAGCUGCUCAGAAAUCUCUCAGAGGAGUCAACAGCAGAACCGUGGGGCAGAUCCUUCAGAUAGCUGAGCACGUUGCCUUUGAAAGC